rnacentral:rRNA from 1 species
CGAAGGCAGAUCUCUGGGCCGUAACUGACGCUGAGGAGCGAAAGCAUGGGGAGCGAACAGGAUUAGAUACCCUGGUAGUCCAUGCCGUAAACGUUGGGCGCUAGAUGUAGGGACCUUUCCACGGUUUCUGUGUCGUAGCUAACGCAUUAAGCGCCCCGCCUGGGGAGUACGGCCGCAAGGCUAAAACUCAAAGGAAUUGACGGGGGCCCGCACAAGCGGCGGAGCAUGCGGAUUAAUUCGAUGCAACGCGAAGAACCUUACCAAGGCUUGACAUACACCGGAAACGGCCAGAGAUGGUCGCCCCCUUGUGGUCGGUGUACAGGUGGUGCAUGGUUGUCGUCAGCUCGUGUCGUGAGAUGUUGGGUUAAGUCCCGCAACGAGCGCAACCCUCGUUCUAUGUUGCCAGCGGGUUAUGCCGGGGACUCAUAGGAGACUGCCGGGGUCAACUCGGAGGAAGGUGGGGAUGACGUCAAAUCAUCAUGCCCCUUAUGUCUUGGGCUUCACGCAUGCUACAAUGGCCGGUACAAAGGGCUGCGAUACCGUAAGGUGGAGCGAAUCCCAAAAAGCCGGUCUCAGUUCGGAUUGAGGUCUGCAACUCGACCUCAUGAAGUCGGAGUCGCUAGUAAUCGCAGAUCAGCAACGCUGCGGUGA